CUCCGGCUGGCGGGAAAAGUCGAGCCACUCUGUGCCAAGCGAGACCCGGGGGAGGCAGAGCCCAGAGGGGUACCGCUCGAGUUAGCGACAGGUGGGCCAGGGAAGGGGCCAGAAGAGGCCCGAGAGAAAGCAAACUGGCGGGGCUGACACUGAAUAUUCCACAGUUGGCUUAUCCAUUCAUCAGUCGAUGGACAUUUGGACUCCCUCUCCCUGACCACCUUACUUCUCAACCCCAGAGGAGCCAGAAGAAGCACAGCAUUAGGGGACAAGGUGCAGAAAGAAGAAUGAAAGAACAGUCACUUUUUUUACACCGGAGAUCUGUCCAUCUCUAAUCAAGCUGCACUAGAGGUUGGGAGCUGGAGAAGCUUAAAAUGAAUGUAGUGACCUUGGGUGGACCAGAAUCAGAGGAAAGCAUGGAUUGCACAAUGUCUCUCUUUUAUUAAGAACAACACUGAAGACUGCUCUAGCACCAUAUGUAAUGGUUCACAGGAAUAGUGGUCAUUAUAAUAAAAUCCUUCCUGCCUUA